AACAGGAUUAGAUACCCUGGUAGUCCACGCUGUAAACGAUGUCGACUUGGAGGUUGUGCCCUUGAGGCGUGGCUUCCGGAGCUAACGCGUUAAGUCGACCGCCUGGGGAGUACGGCCGCAAGGUUAAAACUCAAAUGAAUUGACGGGGGCCCGCACAAGCGGUGGAGCAUGUGGUUUAAUUCGAUGCAACGCGAAGAACCUUACCUACUCUUGACAUCCAGAGAAUUUGCUAGAGAUAGCUUAGUGCCUUCGGGAACUCUGAGAUAGGUGCUGCAUGGCUGUCGUCAGCUCGUGUUGUGAAGUGUUGGGUUAAGUCCCGCAACGAGCGCAACCCUUAUCCUUUGUUGCCAGCACGUAAUGGUGGGAACUCAAAGGAGACUGCCGGUGAUAAACCGGAGGAAGGUGGGGAUGACGUCAAGCCAUCAUGGCCCUUACGAGUAGGGCUACACACGUGCUACAAUGGCAUAUACAAAGAGAAGCGAACUCGCGAGAGCAAGCGGACCUCAUAAAGUAUGUCGUAGUCCGGAUUGGUGUCUGCAACUCGACUCCAUGAAGUCGGAAUCGCUAGUAAUCGUAGAUCAGAAUGCUACGGUGAAUACGUUCCCGGGCCUUGUACACACCGCCCGUCACACCAUGGGAGUGGGUUGCAAAAGAAGUAGGUAGCUUAACCUUCGGGAGGGCGCUUACCACUUUGUGAUUCAUGACUGGGGUGAAGUCGUAACAAGGUAACC
rnacentral:rRNA from 1 species